rnacentral:rRNA from 1 species
UAUCUCUGUAGAGUCUGCAUAUCAAUAAGCGGAGGAAAAGAAACUAACAAGGAUUCCCUUAGUAACGGCGAGUGAAGCGGGAAGAGCUCAAAUUUGAAAUCUUCAAGGUUCUACCUUGACGAAUUGUAGUUUAAAGAAGUGUUUUCUGUUAGAUGAGUAGCAAAAGUUCCUUGGAAUGGGACAUCAUAGAGGGUGAGAAUCCCGUAUUUGGUUAUUCAUUCUAGCUUUGUGAUACACUUUCAAAGAGUCGGAUUGUUUGGGAAUGCAGUCCAAAAUGGGUGGUAAAUUUCAUCUAAAGCUAAAUAUUGGCGAGAGACCGAUAGCGAACAAGUACCGUGAGGGAAAGAUGAAAGAACUUUGAAAAGAGAGUUAAACAGUACGUGAAAUUGUCAAAAGGGAAGCGUUUGACACCAGUGUUGUUUUUCCGAAAAUCAAUUACGAAUGGCUUGAUUUUGUGUUGUAUUGACCUUAUCAGCUUUCUUCACUUUUUUCGAGUCUUUCUUAAUGCACUUUUCGAGUUAACAAGUCAACAUCAAUUUCUUUUGUUGUAAAAGAGUAUUCGGAAGGUGGCUUUCUUUUCGGAGAAAGUGUUUAUAGCCCUAUACUUCUACAAUCGGAGAGAUUGAGGUCUGCAGCGUAGAUCCUUCGGGGUUAGAUACACUUGUGCUAAGUUGUAGCUUCUCAUAGACAACUUGUUGACUAUGUUUAGUCAUGCGGCUUACUCGCUUGUGCUAUUUUACCUACGCUUAGGAUGUUGACUGAUAUGUAGUCGUA